UACGGAGGGUGCAAGCGUUAUCCGGAUUCACUGGGUUUAAAGGGUGUGUAGGCGGGUUUGUAAGUCAGUGGUGAAAUCCCGGAGCUUAACUUCGGAACUGCCAUUGAUACUAUAAGUCUUGAGUACUGUGGAGGUAGGCGGAAUACGUCAUGUAGCGGUGAAAUGCAUAGAUAUGACGUGGAACACCGAUUGCGAAGGCAGCUUACUACACGGUCACUGACGCUGAGGCACGAAAGCGUGGGUAGCGAAC
rnacentral:rRNA from 1 species